CAAACAGGUCCAUUUACAGAAACGUGUGUAUUUUCUCAUUUAUGCUUCCAUCCAAAAAGCCCUACAGCCACCCAUCCCUUUUGGGUGACAAUAUUCCACUGUGAGGGUUUUGCCCUCAUUGUGACCACUGCUGGCUCUGAUCUUCUACUCCUGAUGCCAAGCGCAUGGCUGACCUGGCAGGCUUUCCUUGCCUGCAGGUCAGUGGUGCCUACUCGGACCACUGCUGCCCACACCCUGGAUGAUGCCAAAGCAGACGCUCUGCCCAUCUGUCACUAGGAGCCGCCGAUGGCCUCCAACUACCCUUCCCUAAAACCUCAGCUUGGAGUAAACACCAGAUGUCAAGUAUGUUUUACCCUCAUGUAGAUGAGUGUUUCACCACCUGGACUGCACCUUGGAAUCAUCUGGGGAGAUCUUUAAAAAUCCAGAUUGAGGUCAGGCAUGGUGGCUCAUGCCUGUAACCCUAGCACUUUGGGAGGCUGAGGCAGGAGGACUGCAGUUUAAGAAAAGCCUGGGCAACAUGGUGAGUGUCCAAAAUUAAAAAUAAAUAUAUGGAUUGUGUCU
rnacentral:lncRNA from 1 species